AUUUUUUAAACCACUGGGCCUUUUUUCUUUCACAAAGAAUCUAGACCCAGUUCAAUCUGGAAUGGAUAGUCUCACUACUUAGAUGGAUUCGUGAAAGUACCUAUUGCCACGAAAGAUCAUUUUGUCGCACGGUGCAAUACCUUAGAUACCAAAAAA